rnacentral:rRNA from 1 species
AUUGAACGCUGGCGGCAUGCCUUACACAUGCAAGUCGAACGGUAACAGGUCUUCGGAUGCUGACGAGUGGCGAACGGGUGAGUAAUACAUCGGAACGUGCCUAGUAGUGGGGGAUAACUACACGAAAGAGUGGCUAAUACCGCAUGAGAUCUACGGAUGAAAGCAGGGGAUCGCAAGACCUUGUGCUACUAGAGCGGCCGAUGGCAGAUUAGGUAGUUGGUGGGAUAAAAGCUUACCAAGCCGACGAUCUGUAGCUGGUCUGAGAGGACGAUCAGCCACACUGGGACUGAGACACGGCCCAGACUCCUACGGGAGGCAGCAGUGGGGAAUUUUGGACAAUGGGCGCAAGCCUGAUCCAGCAAUGCCGCGUGCAGGAUGAAGGCCUUCGGGUUGUAAACUGCUUUUGUACGGAACGAAAAGCCCCGGGUUAAUAUCCUGGGCUAAUGACGGUACCUGAAGAAUAAGCACCGGCUAACUACGUGCCAGCAGCCGCCGUAA